rnacentral:sRNA from 1 species
CAAAGAAGAAGAAGAGGAAGAAGACGU